AGCGAACGCUGGCGGCGUGCCUAACACAUGCAAGUCGAGCGAGAAAGAGAGCUUCGGCUCUUGAGUAAAGCGGCGAACGGGUGCGUAACACGUGGGUGAUCUGUCCUUAAGAUGGGGAUAACUCAGCGAAAGUUGGGCUAAUACCCAAUAAGACCACAGAAAGCAAUUUCGGGGGUCAAAGAGCGCUUCUUUUAGGAGCAUUCGUUUAAGGAGGAGCCCGCGGCCUAUCAGCUUGUUGGUAGGGUAACGGCCUACCAAGGCAAAGACGGGUAGCUGGUCUGAGAGGAUGACCAGCCACACGGGGACUGAGACACGGCCCAGACUCCUACGGGAGGCAGCAGUGGGGAAUCUUGCGCAAUGCGCGAAAGCGUGACGCAGCAACGCCGCGUGCGGGAAGACGGCCUUCGGGUUGUAAACCGCUUUCAGUUGGGACGAAGCUCUUCCGGUGAAUAGCCGGAUGGAGUGACGGUACCUUCACAAGAAGCCCCGGCUAACUACGUGUCAGCAGCCGCGGUAAUACGUAGGGGGCAAGCGUUGUCCGGAAUCAUUGGGCGUAAAGAGCGUGUAGGCGGCCCGGUAAGUCCGCUGUGAAAGCCAGGGGCUCAACCCUUGGAUGCCGGUGGAUACUGUCGGGCUCGAGUACGGAAGAGGCGAGUGGAAUUCCUGGUGUAGCGGUGAAAUGCGCAGAUAUCAGGAGGAACACCAAUUGCGAAGGCAGCUCGCUGGGACGUUACUGACGCUGAGACGCGAAAGCGUGGGCAGCAAACAGGAUUAGAUACCCUGGUAGUCCACGCCGUAACGAUGAUAACUAGCUGUCUGGGCUCUUGAGCUUAGUGCGCAGCUACGCAUAGUAU
rnacentral:rRNA from 1 species